GGCAUCAACUGGGAAUCGAACCUGGGCUACCCACGUGGCAGGUGAGAGCAUUCUACCACUGAACCACCGAUGC